CUAUUGUAUGGUAAGAGAGAAGGUUAUACUUUCCCUCAAAAAGAACAGAUGAGGUCCUAAUAGCCUAUGCGGCACAUAUAUGGUUAAGGGAUCUGACAAAGCUUUUUU